rnacentral:rRNA from 1 species
UACGGAGGGAGCUAGCGUUGUUCGGAAUUACUGGGCGUAAAGCGCGCGUAGGCGGCUUUGUAAGUUAGAGGUGAAAGCCCGGAGCUCAACUCCGGAACUGCCUUUAAAACUGCAUCGCUUGAAUCCGGGAGAGGUGAGUGGAAUUCCGAGUGUAGAGGUGAAAUUCGUAGAUAUCGGGAGGAACACCUGUGGCGAAAGCGGCGCACUGGACCACAACUGACGCUGAGGCGCGAAAGCUAGGGGAGCAAACAGG